UGUAGCAAUACAUAGUGGCGCACGGGUGCGUAACACGUAUGCAACCUACCUUAUACUGGGGGAUAGCCUUUGGAAACGGAGAUUAAUACCCCAUAGUACAUUUGAUUGGCAUCAAUUAAAUGUUAAAGAUUUAUCGGUAUAAGCUGGGCAUGCGUCCAAUUAGUUAGUUGGUGAGGUAACGGCUCACCAAGACUUUGAUUGGUAGGGGAACUGAGAGGUUAAUCCCCCACACUGGCACUGAGAUACGGGCCAGACUCCUACGGGAGGCAGCAGUAGGGAAUAUUGGGCAAUGGAGGCAACUCUGACCCAGCCAUGCCGCGUGCAGGAAGAAGGCGUUAUGCGUUGUAAACUGCUUUUAUAUAGGAAGAAAUAGUCCUUGCGAGGAAAGUUGACGGUACUAUAUGAAUAAGCACCGGCUAACUCCGUGCCAGCAGCCGCGGUAAUACGGAGGGUGCAAGCGUUGUCCGGAUUUAUUGGGUUUAAAGGGUGCGUAGGCGGUUUAUUAAGUCAGUGGUGAAAGACGGUCGCUCAACGAUUGCAGUGCCAUUGAUACUGGUAGACUUGAGUGGGAUUGAGGUAGCUGGAAUGGAUAGUGUAGCGGUGAAAUGCAUAGAUAUUAUCCAGAACACCAAUUGCGUAGGCAAGUUACUAAGUCUCAACUGACGCUGAGGCACGAAAGUGUGGGUAUCAAACAGGAUUAGAUACCCUGGUAGUCCACACUGUAAACGAUGAUAACUAACUGUUGGCUUUCGAGUCAGUGGUACAGA
rnacentral:rRNA from 1 species